GGAGGUGUAGGAGGGAGUCAGGCAGGUUUGGGGAGAAGGAAGUUCCAGGCAGAGGGAACAGCCCUGAAAAGUGCCCAAAGUGGAGGUGUGCCUAGUGUCUCCAUACACUAGGAGGAGGUCGGCUGUGCUAGGAGAGUGAAUGAGGGGCAAUACUGAGAGCUGAGGAGAGGGAUGAAAGCAGGCUAGAUGCAGGAGGACCUUUGCAUUGUCUGCUGGGGCCGCCUACCGAAGUUCCACAAACUGAGUGGCUUAAACAACAGAAAAGUACCAAGUUCCGGUGACCAGAAGUCCUUAUAAGACAUCAAGCUGAGUCCUUGAAGUGGUCGGAGGGACAAAACAGAAUUCCUGGAGACAGUGUCCUAAGGGAGUGCCAGAGGCACUCAUUUGUUUGACAACUAAUUUUGGAGGCAGGUGCUCUUCCUUGUCUUAGGAUCUUCCAGUCAACAAGGCUGAAAAUCUCCCUGCCUCCUGGAGCUUGCUUCUGUGGAAGAAGGCAGUCAGCAAACACAUGAACAAAGACAAGUUCAGGGAGCUGAAGGUGCUGGAAAGAGGAGGAAACAAGGGUUUGUGGGUAAAAUAAUGUGCCCAAUGUCGUGCACUUUGUAGGGGACAGAGGACUCAAUACGACUUGGAUCUGACACUGGAAUUCACCUGACUGUGCUACACAGGCUCUCCUGCAUAGCUAGUGCUUCCACCAGCAGGGGUGACAAUUAGACCUUACCUUUGCCUAGUAUUUUAUACACUUCCAAGCGAUUUCCAGCACAUCACCUCAUUUCACCUUGGAACAUGAUUAUUUCCACCUUUUCCUCUGAGGCCUGCCACGAAUGUAAAGGAAAAUGGUAGGAGCCGAUCCUCUAGCAACGGAGCCAAUUAAGCUUCCUGCAAAUGUAGAGCAGUUAAAUCCCCAUGACAUGAAGGACCAAUAAAAGCUUUGAAUUGGCCAUGUCUAGAGCAGAACCUUGUGGGCCGGAAUUUAAAUAGGCAAAGGUCUUUGCUUUCUCCUCCUGUGACUUACAGAAACUAGUUCUUAUUCAGCCUCUGCAAUGUGGAAAAGAGUCGCUGAUAGCAGCUCCUGUAUUCUUAGGUGCUGUGGGGAUACUGCAGCAGCUCUCUGUCCUUCCAGUGUCUCCAGGGAAGAACAUCUUCCUCUCAAGUGAACAGUGCUUACCGCUUCAAGCAUCCAGUCUCAGCAAUAAGGUCAGCGUUUGACUGUUGACAAAGUAUUUUGGCAUACUUGAUCAUGUUUGAUGCUCACAUAAUCCCACUGUGUAGCUUCUCAUAAUCUUUGUAACUUUUGGAUGGGGAAACUGAGGGUCAGGCUGAAGGCACCCGAUGGGUAUGUUUCUGUGGGAAUGGCAGACCAGCUGGGCCUUGAGACUCAGGAUUCCUGACACCAAGAUUCCUCCUCGCUCUGCCACUGAAAGGACGCUUGCUUUUGUGCUGGCUUUGGAAGGAACACUUUCUAAAAUGUGUUAUAUAUUUGCCUGCCUCUUACAGCAGAGGACACUGGGG
rnacentral:lncRNA from 10 species